UCCGGUUCCCUCCUAUUGUUAUGGAUUUACCUGGAAAUCCAAGGCAGCAAAGAGCCAAGAGCACAGUAUAGAUCACCGCUCUGAGACUGCUCUCUUUGUGUCAAGGUGAUGCACGAGCGAUCGGCACCUCAGGAACAGUCAUCCGAUACCUCCUUAACCUUCCCCCUCUCGCAGCUUCACAGAUAAAGAGAUGUGGAACGGGAGAAUUCACCAUGAACUCAA